rnacentral:lncRNA from 1 species
CCCAGCACAUGGGCACAGACCAGGGCCCUGGGACCUGGGCUUACACCCAGUGUAAGCCCCUGAAAGUCUGUGUCGCAAGAAGACAAGAGACAGCCCUCUGCCCGGCUCAUUUCGUUGGAGAUCCUCGAACGAAGAACAUGUUUACAUGUUGCAUCCCAAAGUCUGGAGGCUGCAGUCCCCUCUUUGCAGGACACCAGGGAUGAUGAAACAUGGAGGAGGCUGGCGGACACAUGCUCCAUCUCCCAGACACAGGGAGUGACCGUAGGGGGCUCUCCAGGAGCAGGGACUGGGGACUACCUGGGAAGGCCUCUGACACUGCCCAGGCUACUGUCCCUGGUGGUACUGCACUGGGUUGUGGUCCAGCACCCGGAGCCCACAGAGCUGAGCCUGAGGAGGUGGGGGGAUGGUGCCUGGAGAGACUUCAGCAGGAGACCAGGACCCAGCAAUUGACCAGGCACCUGCCCACGGAGAGCCUGACGCUGUCCCAGAAGAGCUGACCCUGACGGCCUGCAGGAAGGUUGCGUCCCCUACCUGUCUAUUCUUUCUCUCUGGUACAUAGUAACUGUUAUUUUAUCUUUCCAUGGUCUGCAU